rnacentral:rRNA from 1 species
GACGAACGCUGGCGGCGUGCUUAACACAUGCAAGUCGAACGGAAAGGCCCUGCUUUUGUGGGGUGCUCGAGUGGCGAACGGGUGAGUAACACGUGAGUAACCUGCCCUUGACUUUGGGAUAACUUCAGGAAACUGGGGCUAAUACCGGAUAGGAGCUCCUGCUGCAUGGUGGGGGUUGGAAAGUUUCGGCGGUUGGGGAUGGACUCGCGGCUUAUCAGCUUGUUGGUGGGGUAGUGGCUUACCAAGGCUUUGACGGGUAGCCGGCCUGAGAGGGUGACCGGCCACAUUGGGACUGAGAUACGGCCCAGACUCCUACGGGAGGCAGCAGUGGGGAAUAUUGCACAAUGGGCGGAAGCCUGAUGCAGCAACGCCGCGUGUGGGAUGACGGCCUUCGGGUUGUAAACCGAUUUCGCCUGUGACGAAGCGUGAGUGACGGUAAUGGGUAAAGAAGCACCGGCUAACUACGUG